rfam:Camelus ferus unplaced genomic scaffold scaffold902, whole genome shotgun sequence.
GAGGGUAUAGCUCAAGUGGUAGAGCGCAUGCUUAGUGUGCACAGGGUCCUGGGUCCAAUCCCCAGUACCUCCU